ensembl:snRNA Gm24410 U6 spliceosomal RNA
GUGCUCACUUUGGCAGCACAUACACUAAAUUUGAAACAAUACAAAGAAGAUUAGCAUGGCCCCUAUGCAAGGAUGACACCCAAAUUUGUGAAGCAUUCCAUAUUUCU